UACGUAGGGGGCUAGCGUUGUCCGGAUUUAUUGGGUGUAAAGAGCGUGUAGGCGGCCAAGUAGGUCCGGCGUGAAAACUCGAGGCUUAACCUCGAGAUGUCAUCGGAAACCAUUUGGCUAGAGUCCGGAAGAGGAAAGCGGAAUUCCUGGUGUAGCGGUGAAAUGCGCAGAUAUCAGGAAGAACACCAAUGGCGAAAGCAGCUUUCUGGGACGGUACUGACGCUGAGACGCGAAAGCGUGGGGAGCGAACAGG
rnacentral:rRNA from 1 species